AAACCAACAGGGAUUGCCUCAGUAGCGGCGAGUGAAGCGGCAAGAGCUCAGAUUUGAAAUCGUGCUUUGCGGCACGAGUUGUAGAUUGCAGGUUGGAGUCUGUGUGGAAGGCGGUGUCCAAGUCCCUUGGAACAGGGCGCCCAGGAGGGUGAGAGCCCCGUGGGAUGCCGGCGGAAGCAGUGAGGCCCUUCUGACGAGUCGAGUUGUUUGGGAAUGCAGCUCCAAGCGGGUGGUAAAUUCCAUCUAAGGCUAAAUACUGGCGAGAGACCGAUAGCGAACAAGUACUGUGAAGGAAAGAUGAAAAGCACUUUGAAAAGAGAGUGAAACAGCACGUGAAAUUGUUGAAAGGGAAGGGUAUUGCGCCCGACAUGGGGAUUGCGCACCGCUGCCUCUCGUGGGCGGCGCUCUGGGCUUUCCCUGGGCCAGCAUCGGUUCUUGCUGCAGGAGAAGGGGUUCUGGAACGUGGCUCUUCGGAGUGUUAUAGCCAGGGCCAGAUGCUGCGUGCGGGGACCGAGGACUGCGGCCGUGUAGGUCACGGAUGCUGGCAAAACGGCGCAACACCGC
rnacentral:rRNA from 1 species